rnacentral:piRNA from 1 species
UAGUUGCCCUGACAUAACUUCUCCUGACCCA